AUAUAAUAUCUGCAUUACGUGCAGUCUGUUAUCAAUACCUCUGAUUGAAUACUAUUUAAAAGCCAGAGAAAAUUUAAAGACCAUCUAAAAGUUGUUGGGACGUUAUAGAAAAUAUUCGAUUAACUUCAUCUAUAUAAUCAGUGUAUAUCAUACUCAUAAUUCCUGAAAGUGAAGAAAGUGAAUGCUUCCCAUUGAAGUACUUUCUGAAAGCCACAGCCACAACAUUCUUGCUAAACAAGGAUUAUCAAGAAUAAAUGAAUGAAAUUUACUGACAAGACCUAAUUCAAAUAAAAUCCCAUCAAAGAUCAACCAGGUCGUCAAAUAUACAACAACUUGAUAUUCCAAGAACAAAUCUCACAUAGUGUGGUGAUAGGGCUUUCUCUGUUGCAGCACUAGUCCUUUGGAACAAGGGCUUUCUGUUGCAGCACCAGUCCUUUGGAGCAAGCUACCUUAAUAUGUGAAAGAAGAAGGAACUAUUCCAGAAUUCAAAAAGAGACUGAAGAACAUAUCUUUACUUCAAUAUAACAAUUUAUAUGGUGACUCUGAAAAGACUAAUAUGAGAAAAUGAAUUGAAAUGAGAUUUAACAUCCUACUUUUUUGCAUCAACUGGGGAAAUAGGAAGUGAUAUUGAUAAGCAUGUUGCUUGUUUUCGUAUCCUUUAGACUCUACAAUUAUAUGUAAUUAUAUUGAAUAAAAUAUUGUUUAAACCAACUGGGCAAAUGAAGAUAGAGAUUUAUUUGGAGAGCGAGAAAAGGAUACAGUUUGAUUAAAUCCAAAUAUUAUGAUUCAAGCCAGUGGGAAUUGGGCUUUAGUGACUCUUGUAUCAAAUGAAAUGGGGUUUAAAGUCCUACUGUUCUGCUCUUAAACUGGGCUAAUGAAGAUGGGACUCUUGUAUUAUUCCAUCCAGACAUUUUGUGGUGUAAGUCAUUAGACAAAUAAAUCAUGAGAGAUCGUUUUUUGGCUCCAGUACUAUUUCUCAGUGCCAUGAACAUAAGACAUAGAGCCUAGAAAAAAUUGAGUUUGAUCACUUCAAACAUUUCUUUGUGUGUAUUUUGCUAGUAAGUCUUGCUAUGCUAUAGUGAAUUACACUUUUAUAGAAGCGUUUUAUGCAUGAACGUUACAU